rnacentral:misc_RNA from 1 species
AACUUUUGACAACGGAUCUCUUGGCUCUCGCAUCGAUGAAGAACGCAGCGAAAUGCGAUAAGUAAUUUGAAUUGCAGAAUUCAGUGAAUCAUCGAAUCUUUGAACGCACCUUGCGCUCCUUGGUAUUCCGAGGAGCAUGCCUGUUUGAGUGUCAUUAAUAUAUCAACCUUCUCUUGUUGAGUUGUUUGGAUGUGGGGGUUUGCUGGCCUCUUUAAAAGGUUUUCAGCUCCCCUGAAAUGCAUUAGCAGAAACAGCCCUGUUCAUUGGUGUGAUAACUAUCUACGCUAUUGAAUGUGAAGAGCAGUUUCGCUUUCUAACGGUCCUUGGACAGCUCAUCAUUAAUGUGACCUCAAAUCAGGUAGGACUACCCGCUGAACUUAAGCAUAUCAAUAAGCGGAGGCU